rnacentral:rRNA from 1 species
UACAAACUGUGCGAACGUUAUUCGGAAUCACUGGGCUUAAAGCGCGUGUAGGCGGGCCGGCACGUCGGUCGCUGAAAUCCCCCGGCUCAACCGGGGAAGGGGCGCCGAUACGACCGGCCUGGAGGGGCGUAGGGGGACCGGGAACUUCCGGUGGAGCGGUGAAAUGCGCAGAUAUCAGGAGGAACACCGAUGGCGAAGGCAGUGUUCUGGGCCAGUACUGACGCUGAGGAGCGAAAGCGUGGGGAGCAAACAGG